UCCAGCUGACCUGCACCAUACUGCUGACAUCCCUGGCAAGCUCUCUAUAACUCCUCCUGUCAGCUCGUGCUCACCACAGCUAUGGAACUUCUUUCCUACUCUCCUCCAGGUAAACAGAAGGCCCCAGAAAAAAUUAAAAUAAAAUAAAAUAAAACAAAAUAAUAAAAUAAAAUAAAAUAAAAUAAAAUAAAAUAAAAUAAAAUAAAUCUUAACUUGUGGUGGAUCUGAUGAGCCUCAAGAAUUUGAGUGGUUCCAUUAAACUUGAUGGGGAUACUCACUGGUUUCAGGCUACACGAGUAGGCAGAGUCUGUACUGGAUCAGGCCCACAAUGAGUAGGAGUGAAACAAUGGGCCACUAUGACAUUUCAUUAGAAAUGUUUAAUAAGUAUCUGGAGUGUGGGAGGAAACACCUCAAGAAUUGAAAAGCCCCCUCCAAAGGAGAGAAAUUACCACUGAACUUAGAGAAAAGUAGGGGGGAUACUCAGCUAGACACUGGGAUAAAAUCCAGCUCUUUUCAUUUCACUACUCUGAUAUGUGGACCAGGAUGGAGUGAACUACAGAGGAGAAAGACACACCUCAGGAACAACCAGGAAGCUUGUUUGGAGAAAAUACCUAUCACUCAAACCUGGCUUUUAUCACUCAGCUCCAUCAUCAUGCACAGCUGAUGUGGGGAAUCUGGAAACUGAAGAACACCGUUAGUGAUGAGCUGCAGCAGAAACAGAGGCACCCAGACAGAGCAAUGCAGCUGAAACAGGUUAAUCUGAAACUCUUUUUCCUUCUACCAUCUCCUCCUUGCUCCACGUUGCACUUGUAAACUUCAAGUAAAAGUGUAACAACAUCUCCAAUGGAAAAAUGCUGUCUUGUCUGCAUAGCCUAUAUAGGCUCAAACAUCAUUUCAAUCCGGAUAAUGAAAAAUGCAAAUACCCAGUGAAAAAAAGCAGCACAUAGGCAUGUAAUUAAAUGUGGCAUUUUUCUGCAAAAGGGAGAAAGACCAAAUAGAGAUUGUAGUGUAACUUUAGCAAAAUUAUUUUUGUCACCCUUCAUAAAGUUAUCCUAACAUAAUAUGCAGUUCCUUAGUAAUGUUACAGGUUUAAAAAAUAAGUAAUCUAUGUGGAAAUAAAAAUUUUAGCAUGUAGGAGCA
rnacentral:lncRNA from 1 species